CGGCGGACGGGUGAGUAACGCGUGGGUAACCUGCCUCGUACAGGGGGAUAACAGUUGGAAACGGCUGCUAAUACCGCAUAAGCGCACGGCAUCGCAUGAUGCAGUGUGAAAAACUCCGGUGGUAUAAGAUGGACCCGCGUUGGAUUAGCUAGUUGGUGAGGUAACGGCCCACCAAGGCGACGAUCCAUAGCCGACCUGAGAGGGUGACCGGCCACAUUGGGACUGAGACACGGCCCAA
rnacentral:rRNA from 1 species